GGUGCUUGAAGAGAGGUCCUCCAUGAUGCAUUCGCUUUAUUCUCUGACGAUCAACAUAGUGACCUUUUUUAGUAUC
rnacentral:pre_miRNA from 1 species